GACAGAGGAUGCAAGCGUUAUCCGGAAUGAUUGGGCGUAAAGCGUCUGUAGGUGGCUUUUUAAGUCUGCCGUCAAAUCCCAGGGCUUUAACCCUGGACAGGCGGUGGAAACUACCAAGCUGGAGUACGGUAGGGGCAGAGGGAAUUUCCGGUGGAGCGGUGAAAUGCGUAGAGAUCGGAAAGAACACCAACGGCGAAGGCACUCUGCUGGGCCGACACUGACACUGGAGAGACGAAAGCUAGGGGAGCAAAUGGG
rnacentral:rRNA from 1 species